rnacentral:rRNA from 1 species
GUGGGGAAUAUUCCGCAAUGGACGAAAGUCUGACGGAGCAACGCCGCGUGAGUGAAGAAGGUUUUCGGAUCGUAAAGCUCUUUCGUUAGGGACGAACGUGCUCUUUGUGAAUAAUGAGGAGUAAUGACGGUACCUAAAUAAGAAGCCACGGCUAACUACGUGCCAGCAGCCGCGGUAAUACGUAGGUGGCAAGCGUUGUCCGGAAUUAUUGGGCGUAAAGCGCGCGCAGGCGGGAUAUCAAGUCUGUCUUAAAAGUGCGAGGCUCAACCUCGUGAGGGGACAGAAACUGGUAUUCUUGAGUGUCGGAGAGGAAAGUGGAAUUCCAAGUGUAGCGGUGAAAUGCGUAGAGAUUUGGAAGAACACCAGUGGCGAAGGCGACUUUCUGGACGAUGUCUGACGCUGAGGCGCGAAAGCUAGGGGAGCGAACGGGAUUAGAAACCCUUGUAGUCC